rnacentral:rRNA from 1 species
CCCUUAGAUGUUCUGGGCCGCACGCGCGCUACACUGAGUAAAUCAAUGGGUAAGGGAACACGAAAGUGCAACCUAAUCUUGAAAUUUGCUCGUGAUGGGGAUCGACGGUUGCAAUUUUCCGUCGUGAACGAGGAAUACCUUGUAGGCGCGUGUCAUCAUCACGCGCCGAAUACGUCCCUGCCCUUUGUACACACCGCCCGUCGCUCCUACCGAUUGAGUGAUCCGGUGAGGCUCUGGGACCUGGACGGAAAGAGCGUUUCGCUUGUUCUGUUUGGGAAACUUGGUCGAACCUUAUCAUUUAGAGGAAGGAGAAGUCGUAACA